GACGUGGAUGUAUCGCCUUCGGCUGCCGAUGCAGACACAGAGGGAAGAGCAGAAGGGUUGAAGUCUUCUAUCUAGACAGCUUGGCAAUGGUCUCUCGCUGACACAUGGCGCUACCUGGUGUCAUUGCUCGCACGAUGACUGCCUCCAGAAAACUAGCGGGAAACGCUGGAGACAUAUGAAUGGCCAUCAUUCAGGCUGCUGCAACUUCGUCGCUAUAAUGGGAGCAAUAAUCUCGACUGUAGGGGUGUGGCAUCACCUCUCUCAAUGGUUUCCAUCCCAGUUGUCAUCCCCAGAGGUUUAAACACGCGGAUGAUGGAUGACAAGGGAUGGUUCCCUGCAUAGUGUGGUGCCAUCCAGGUGUUGAAACUUAAAGCUUACGUUUGUAUUGCUAUUAGAGCAAUGCAGAGGGAGGGUUGCGUUUGGGCGUAAACGCUAUUUAGAUGAACAGGGAAGGCAUCUGGUUUGCCAGAUACUGGUGUAAGACAUUUGGUUUCCCACCGCUAGAGUCGGUGAUGAUAGUAGAUUUUUGGGACGUCGUGAUGUGUACUCCAUUGUGAACGGUGUGUUUGACCCAGUUGGGCAUUGUAGUCAUAGUGGCGGUUUAAGGUUGACGCUGUUCCCAUGGAAACUAUUAUUCCGGUAUAUAUAAUAAUGUAAAGGUAUUAUCGUAGCUGUCCAUUGAGCCUUAGUAGUGUCACGGUACCUAUGUAUUAUAUUGUACUAUGUAACUAUUAUAGAGUUGUUACCUUACAUGUUCUGCCUUUACGAGGUAAUGUACGUCCGGAUGUAUUUAAGAAAUAUCUACGUUGAUGCAUUUUAUAAGCUACUCAGUUUUGUUCCACGUGUCAUUGUGAAAAUUAGGUUAACAGUGUAUGAAAAGUGUAUUGAUGUUUUUGUUAUAUAAUCCAGCUAUAUUAAAAACACUAUCAUGUAACCUGUCUCAGCAAAAAUCAAGGCAACUAUUAAUAAAUGGCUGAAUUGAAUUUUGUUUUAACAAGA